rnacentral:lncRNA from 1 species
AGUAAGAUCAUUUAAAGGGACCAAAAACGGAUGAACAUACUGGGCACUAUGGACUAAAAGAUCUUUGGCUAAAGAAGAGAUGAAGACUCAUUCAACUCCUACAAGUGAAUUAAGAAGGCAAAGCCAGCCCAGGAGGGUGGGAAGAUUAAGAACACUGUGCCUUGUCUUGAUACACAGUUGUGGUAUAGGUUUUUAGGUUGGUGCUAAAUGAUUAUGGUUGGUGGAAAAGUUAUCCUUUCUUCAUAUACACAGAUACACACAGAAGAUAUAUACAUACAAAGAAUUUAGGAAGGAUCAUCAAAAGAAAUUUUAUAUACUCAUCUUCAUCACCAUCAUCUUCAUUAUCAUCACAGAAUAAAGCUUAACUAAACAGGCUGAGCACAGCUUGAGUCUGGGACACCUGCAAGAGACAACAGCGGGAGGUGGAUUUGGUUCAUGGAAUGUUUUCGGCAAUAGUUCACUUUGUAUGCAAGUCUCAAACUGGAUUCUUCACAAGAGCUACACCCACCACAAGCACCUUAAAUAUUGCAUCUGUGCCCAAUUAUUAUCCUGGAAUUAAUGAAUAUGUGAAGUUUGGAACCAGAAGAAAUCUUGAAAAUCAUCCUCUCCAUGAUGCCAGUCCUGAUACCUUGUCAUUUUUAUUUUUUAGAUGAAGACAUUGACAAUAAGAAAAGUGAAGUUUCUGUCCUAAGAAAUGGAAAAGAAAAUACAGUGUAUUGAGCUUCUGCCAUGUGCCAGACACAUUAUCUAUGGGUGCUGUGUGUCACAGAUUAACCUCAUAAGGCCAGUUCCCCAAGGUCAAGUGUCUAUUUCAAUUUUUGCUCAUCUUUUACAUCAUUUUGUAGCAUAGGGCCUUACACUUAGCAGUUGCUCAAUAAAUAUGUAUGGCAUGAAUUAAUAACUGUUUUAUUAAAGACAAAGACACAGAAUAAGCCAGUGGCAGAAUAUGACUUAAGAUUCAAUUUUCCUGACACCUAAAGCCCUGUCCUUUUUAUUGUGUCACAAACUCAUCCACAAGUUUUCUAACUGAGUACAUGCUACCAAAGACUAGUCUUUGAGAGCAACGAGUCCCU